UACGAAGGGGGCUAGCGUUGCUCGGAAUCACUGGGCGUAAAGCGCACGUAGGCGGAUUGUUAAGUCAGGGGUGAAAUCCCGGGGCUCAACUCCAGAACUGCCUUCGAUACUGAGAGUCUCGAGUCCGGGAGAGGUGAGUGGAACUGCGAGUGUAGAGGUGAAAUUCGUAGAUAUUCGCAAGAACACCAGUGGCGAAGGCGGCUCACUGGCCCGGUACUGACGCUGAGGUGCGAAAGCGUGGGGAGCAAACAGG
rnacentral:rRNA from 1 species